rnacentral:rRNA from 1 species
GACGAACCUUGCUAACGUUAUUCGGAAUUACUGGGCUUAAAGGGUGCGUAGGCGGUGCAGAAAGUCGGGUGUGAAAUCCCCCAGCUCAACUGAGGAAUUGCGCCUGAAACUACUGUGCUCGAGGAAGACAGAGGUACGCGGAACUUAGGGUGGAGCGGUGAAAUGCGUUGAUAUCCUAAGGAACACCGGUGGCGAAGGCGGCAUCCUGGACCGGUAUUGACGCUGAGGCGCGAAAGCCAGGGGAGCAAACGGG